UGAGUACGAGAUGCUACGGCGUCGAAGCAGUCUAGGUCAUACUUCCAAGAAAAGCUUGCACUGUCAUAAACAAAGAAUGCCUGUACCAUAACCGACACAGGUGGGUAGGUAGAGUAUACUAAGGGGCGCGAGAUAACUCUCUCUAAGGAACUCGGCAAAAUGACUCCGUAACUUCGGGAGAAGGAGUGCCUUAUUUUUAAGGUUGCAAUAACAAGAUCCAAGCAACUGUUUACCAAAAACACAGGUCUCCGCUAAGUCGUAAGACGAUGUAUGGGGGCUGACGCCUGCCCAGUGCCAGAAGGUUAAAGAAGUUGGUUAGCAUUUGCGAAGCUGAUAACUGAAGCCCUGGUGAACGGCGGCCGUAACAAUAACGGUCCUAAGGUAGCGAAAUUCCUUGUCGGGUAAGUUCCGACCCGCACGAAAGGCGUAAUGAUUUGGAUACUGUCUCGGAGAGGGGCUCGGUGAAAUAGACUUGUCUGUGAAGAUGCGGACUACCUGCACCUGGACAGAAAGACCCUAUGAAGCUUUACUGUAACUUGAGAUUGAAAUUGGACUUUAUUUGCGCAGUAUAGGUGGGAGGCGUUGAGAAUAAUCUUGCGGGAUUAUCGGAGCCAUCAGUGAGAUACCACUCUUGUAAUGUUAGAUUUCUAACUUUGUAUCAUUAUCUGGUCAAAGAACAGUUUCAGGCGGGCAGUUUGACUGGGGCGGUCGCCUCCCAAAGGGUAACGGAGGCGCACAAAGGUUUCCUCUGAACGGGUAGAAAUCGUAUCUAGAGUGUAAAGGCAUAAGGAAGCUUGACUGUGAGACCUACAAGUCGAGCAGGGACGAAAGUCGGUCUUAGUGAUCUGACGGUGCUGAGUGGAAAGGCCGUCACUCAACGGAUAAAAGUUACUCUAGGAUAACAGGCUGAUCUCCCCCAAGAGUUCACAUCGACGGGGAGGUUUGGCACCUCGAUGUCGGCUCAUCGCAUCCUGGGGCGGUAGUGCGUCCCAAGGGUUGGGCUGUUCGCCCAUGAAAGCGGUACGCGAGCUGGGUUCAGAACGUCGUGAGACAGUUCGGUCCAUAUCCGGUGUAGGCGUUAGAAUAUUGAAAGGAGCCUUCUCUAGUACGAGAGGACCGAGAAGGACAUACCUCUGGUGUGCCAGUUAUCGUGCCAACGGUAAACGCUGGGUAGCUAUGUAUGGAGUGGAUAACCGCUGAAAGCAUCUAAGUGGGAAGCCCACCUUAAGAUAAGUAUUCUC
rnacentral:rRNA from 1 species